AGUUGGUGGGGUAACGGCCUACCAAGCCUACGACGGGUAGCUGGUCUGAGAGGAUGGUCAGCCAGACUGGGACUGCGACACGGCCCAGACUCCUACGGGAGGCAGCAAUUAGGAAUCUUGCGCAAUGGGGGAAACCCUGACGCAGCGACGCCGCGUGGUGGAUGAAGGCCUACGGGUUGUAAACACCUUUUACAGAGGAUCAACACUGAGGGUACUUUGUGAAUAAGCACCCGCUAACUAUGUGCCAGAAGCGUCGGUGAUACAUAGGGUGCUAGCGUUAUCCGGAAUCACUGGGCGUAAAGAGACGCGUAGGCGUUUUUGUAAGUUACUUGUUAAAGCUCUCUACUCAAUGGAGAAAGAGCAAGUAAUACUGCAUUAAUUGAGACAAAAAGGGGAGAGGGGAAUUCCUGGUGGAGCGGUGAAAUGCGUUGAUAUCAGGAGGAACACCAAGAGCGAAGGCACCUCUCUGGUUUUAGUCUGACGCUAAGGCUCGAAAGCGUGGGGAGCAAAACGGAUUAGAUACCCGUGUAGUCCACGCUGUAAACUAUCCUCGCUAGAUGUUCGACGAAUUUGAAUUGGGUGUCACAGCUAACGCAUUAAGCGAGGCGUCUGAGUAGUACGACCGCAAGGUUAAAACUUAAAGGAAUUGACGGGGACCCGCACAAGCGGUGGAGCGCGUGCUUUAGUUCGAUGUUAAACGAAGAACCUUACCAAGGCUUGACAUAUAGCUGCAAUUCUAUCGAAGAUGGUUUGGUGCUCGAAAGAGAACCUGCACACAGGUACUGCAUGGCUGUCGUCAGCUCGUGUCGUGAGAUGUUGGGUUAAGCCCCGCAACGAGCGCAACCCCUAUCCUUAGUUAAAUAUUUCUGAGGAGACCGCCCUGCCAAAACGGGGAGGAAGGUGGGGAUGAGGUCUAGUCUUCAUAGCCUUUAUGUCUUGGGCAACACACACGCUACAAUGGAAAGUACAAAGGGUCGCCAAGCUGCAAAGCGGAGCUAAUCCCAUAAAACUUUCCUCAGUUCAGAUUGUAGGCUGAAAUUCGCCUAUAUGAAGUCGGAAUCGCUAGUAAUCGUGGAUCAGCAUGCCACGGUGAAUACGUUCUCGGGUCUUGUACACACCGCCUGUCAUGUUAUGGAAGUCGGUAGUACCCGAAUCCCGUAAAUUGAUUCUACGGGAGAAGGUAAGACUGAUGACUGUAAUAAAGUCGUAACAAGGUA
rnacentral:rRNA from 1 species